CCUACGGGUGGCUGCAGUGAGGAAUAUUGGUCAAUGGGCGCGAGCCUGAACCAGCCAAGUAGCGUGAAGGAUGACUGCCCUACGGGUUGUAAACUUCUUUUAUAAAGGAAUAAAGUGAGGCACGUGUGCCUUUUUGUAUGUACUUUAUGCCCAAGCAUCGGCUAACUCCGUGCCAGCAGCCGCGGUAAUCCGGGGGAUGCGAGCGUUGUCCGGAUUUAUUGGGUUUAAAGGGUGCGUAGGCGGAUCGUUAAGUCAGGUGUCAAAUUGAGGGGCUCAACCCCUUCCCGCCAUUGAAACUGGCGCUCUGGAGUGGAAGAGAAGUAUGCGGAAUGCGUGGGGUAGCGGUGAAAUGCAUAGAUAUCACGCAGAACCCCGAUUGCGAAGGCAGCAUGCCGGCUUCCGACUGACGCUGAAGCACGAAAGCGUGGGGAUCGAACAGGAUUAGAUACCCUAGUAGUC
rnacentral:rRNA from 1 species